CACACGUCAGGGCCAACCACAAAUCCAGAUCACUUGAAUGGACUAUAUAUAUAUAGGUGUGUAGGAGGAAAAUGGCCUCAACACAAUUCACUCAGCUGCAAUCGCCAACAUGAAGGCUAUCCUUGUUAUUUGCAUUCUCCUGAUUUCCUUUCUUUUCUCAACCCCUUCAAUUGUAGCUCGCGAGUUGUCUGAUCACAGUGGUUCUGGUACUGCAUCCAAGGAUCCCGAUAAAGGGACAAUAUCAUGCGGAAGGUCUGGAGAUCCCGGGUAUAGCCAAUGCAUAGGAAAACAGAAGCCCAAGCACAAGUGUAAACCACACGGCCCUUAUAAUCGUUGCAGGCCAAGUACUUAAAGGAAGGAACUUUGAAUAAUUACUUUACCUACUGGGAUGAAAGUAUAUAAUUAAAAUAGUAAACUAUAUAUAAGUUUUAUGCUGGGAUAUUGCUUCUCCCGCCUGAUCACGAGGAGAAUCAUGAUGUACGCUUAAUGAGAAUAAACAGGUUUGGUUUAAUAUCAUGGAUUAAUAGUGGAGCUUAUUUGGAUCGCUAUGCAGUGUGGAAAUAUGUAAAAUAUGUAUUUUGAUAUGAUCAUGUUGUAUAAGGUGUGCCAAUAAUAGUCAAUCUUAUGGAAUUCCGUUAAUUUACCA